rnacentral:rRNA from 1 species
CCCUUAGAUGUUCUGGGCCGCACGCGCGCUACACUGACGAAUGCAACGAGCUUAUAACCUUGGCCGAAAGGUCUGGGUAAUCUCCAAAUUUCGUCGUGAUGGGGAUAGAUUAUUGCAAUUAUUAAUCUUCAACGAGGAAUGCCUAGUAAGCGUAAGUCAUCAGCUUGCGUUGAUUACGUCCCUGCCCUUUGUACACACCGCCCGUCGCUCCUACCGAUUGAAUGGUCCGGUGAAGCGCUCGGACCGCGGCCUCUUGACGGUUUUCCGUCGAUUGGCUGUGGGAAGUUCGUUAAACCUUAUCAUUUAGAGGAAGGAGAAGUCGUAACA